AUAGAAAGGGCUACCAAAACCAGCAAGGGUAGGCCGAGCCAAAGUCAGGCUGAGGAAGAGCCCCCAAAGGGACUGAAGACCUUGUUUCUGUUAAAGACAUUUUUGGACUUUUAGUUUGGGAUGAGCGUGACCCAGGAAGGAGUGGACUAAAAGACGGUCACCCGGCUGAAGGGCUGAGUUCCCAGCCAAAAAAACUGCCAGAGUGCCCUUGCGACUAUUAGCGGGGGUGCUAGCCCAGCAAGAAAGCUGUGACACCAGGCCUUGCCAGGAAGGGGCACCUCUCGGCUCUUUCCCAGCCUCUCACACAGAUAUAUCCUGCAGCCAGCCCAGCUUAGGGAGCAGUGGGGACAGGUGAUCUCAUCCUGUCAAACGAAGAAACAUGGGUCUCAUUGAGGCUCAGAUGGAAGAUCCCAUGCAUCUCCUGGAGGCUCCUGGAGACUGUUUCCUGCAGGAGGUUUGAGCAGGGAGAGAUCACUCACUGUCACGAUCCAGGGGUCUUCAACCAGGGUCUGCAGGAUUCAUGGGAGCAGCCACACUCCAACCCUCCACCUGGAAGCCUGCUGAAAAUUGCUUAUCUGAGUCCCAUGAAGUUCAGCCCCACUUUAAGGCUCCACUCCUGAGGUCCUAUUGGAGGAGUCCCAGAGAAGCUAAUUGGCCCCCUGGCCCUGCUUAAGACAGCAGCAGGAACAGGAAGCUGACUGAACACACCAGGGCUGCUCCCUGUUCUAGACCAUGUGCUGCCUGUUUCUGCUGCCACUCCCCUGGCUUGAUUUCCUGGCAUCUGAUUUGUGGUUCACAAGUUUGUCUUUUGCUUCUGAUCUUCCAGGAUCCUGACCCCACUGACUCUCGACUCCUAUCAUGUGAAUGUGGACUCUGGCUCUGACCUGUAGGUCUGGCUGCCCUUGACCCAGCCGUGACAUUGACUUUUUUACAAUUUCUCCAGUGCCCUUUUCUGCUCUCCAGCAAGAUACACCAGUACGUUGGCUCCCAAAGUCCUAGUUGCUCGCUAUUCAAGAGCUGAGGGUUAGUGCUUGUAUUGCCCCCACCCCCACCCCAGCUGCUUUUCCUAUGGGAAUCUCCCUAGAGCAGAGGAGAAAUCUGCUUUUCUGUUAGGAUCGGUCCCAGCAGUAAUUCCACCCACCCUGGCCUCAGGUCAGCUACUUUGUUUACCUGGGAACAGGGACCACUUUUGAAGUCCUUAGCAUGGGGGUGGAGGUGGGAGCAAAGGCUGAAGCUCCAGCAGUUUGCACCAAAGAACACCACCCUGUCUUCUAUGGUCUGAUUAGGGCUCA